rnacentral:rRNA from 1 species
GACAGAGGGUGCAAACGUUGUUCGGAUUUACUGGGCGUAAAGCGUGUGUAGGCGGCUUGGCAAGUUGGAUGUGAAAGCCCACGGCUCAACCGUGGAAGCGCAUCCAAAACUGCCUCGCUCGAGUCUCGGAGAGGAAGGUGGAAUGCUUGGUGUAGAGGUGAAAUUCGUAGAUAUCAAGCAGAACACCUGCGGCGAAGGCGGCCUUCUGGACGAUGACUGACGCCGAGACACGAAAGCGUGGGGAGCAAACAGG